CAUAUGAUAACUAUUUCAGUGUUUCCCUUAUUUUCAGAAACAUGAUCCAACUCAAGAACUUGGCCACGUGAAACUUUGGGAUGAUGCUUCAAGCAUGUAACGUCUGAGAGUAAUUACACAGUUACUCUCUCGACUUCUUUGUCAGCAAAUAAAGGUAUAAUAAUUAUCCAAGAAAACCUUGACAGUUGGGUGGUGAAUUACCUCAUUGUAGACGUGUCGUCUAUAAACACUGUUGAAAAGCCGGGUUUCAAGCAACUGGUGUCUAGUCUCGCACCAAAUUUAGUUUUACGUGGACGCACAUUCUUCACCAAAAAAAUAGAGUUGGAAUUCACUGAACGAAGACAACAGUUGAUUGAUGUGUUAAGCAACUGUACAGACGCAGCAACGACGAUUGAGGCAUUGACGCAGAAGAUCAUAUAUCGGUGAGACUAUCCAUUGGUUUGUAGACGAAUCCUUAAAGCGAAGAAGUGCCUGUCUUCGCAUCCGCCGGAUAAAAGGUCAACAUACUUAUGAUGUCCUGACAACUAUAAUAGAAAACCUCCAUAAGGAGUACUCAGUUAUAGACAAAAUGCGUGGAGCCACAACCGAUAACGGUUCGAACUUCGUAAAGGCGUUCCAUGAGAGUAGUGAGGCAUCAAAUGUGCCAAAAUAUGAAGAUGAUGAUUUCGAACAAAGUGAUGAAGAAGAAGAAUUGUUAUAUUUCGAAAUUGGAGACCUAAUCGACGGUCGAAUCAGGAAAGACCAUCUGUCAAGCAAUGUAAAUCCCACUCUGCCGCUACAUCGCAGAUGUGCCUGCCACAUUUUAAGGUUAAUUGCAAAGGCUGACAUAUUGAAGAUUCCUGAUCCAACCUUUCAAGAAUUAAGUCAAGUUUUGUUAAUUCUGACAUUAUAUCAUAAUGCACCACAUUAGACAACUGUUCAUCUUAAAAAACGAGAUAAGAUGGAAAUCUGAAUACUCCGCCAUACGGUGCAUUGUCUGGCUCUUGAAGAAGAAUAGAUGCAUGAAGAAAUUUUUUCAUGAGCUUAGUUUAACUUUGUUUAUCCCUAACCAGGAACAAUACUUAAAGGAGUAUACCAAAGUAAUGUGAUAUUUUACCGAAGCAUUAGAUGAAUGGCAAGGGGAAAAGAAUAUUGGUUCGGGUUAUCUCCUUCCCACAAUUUCUCUUUAAAAAAAAUAAUCAGCUGCAAGACGAUGCAUCAAUCACACACUGCCAGUCACUAAUAACUGGAAUUCUUGAUGCGAUCCAUUAUUUGAACAUAUGUUUGCUGACAACGAGCUUCAUUUGGCAACACUUACCGAUCCUUUCUUUAAAUUGUCCUGGUUGGAUAAUGAAGAUGAAAUUAGACGCGCCAAAAACUUACUAAAGGGAGAAUACGUUCGCUUUCAAUGAAUAUCCAAUGAGACCAAAUCAUGAGUUCAGUGACGGAACAUGUUCGUCAAUUUCAGAUCCUAGCCCGGAAAAGAAACCAAAAUGUACUAAGGAUUUCUUUGCAUCAAUUACAAAAAAAAAUACUAAGACCAAAGUUAUUGAUGAAGUGGAGACUUUUUAGAAGUUAUGUGGGAAUUUCGACGAUCUAAGGAAUUAUCCAACGAUUAUGAAGAUGUAUAAGCCAUAUAACGUGACUUUGUCAUCUUCGGCCGCAGUCGAGAGGCUGUUUAGUCAAGGGGGAUUAAUAUUUACCCCAAACGACUAUAGUUGACAGCAGUGUUUCGGAUUUUUUUUUUUAAAUCAAAUCCAAAU
rnacentral:lncRNA from 1 species